ACAUGCCUACAAUAGAGCGUUAAUACAUCGAAUCUCAUUAGAACUCCACAGUUAAGCGUGCUCAAGCUAGAGUAGUACUGGGAUGGGUGACCACCCAGGAAGUCCUAGUGUUUUACAUGCC
rnacentral:rRNA from 1 species